GAGUUUGAUCUUGGCUCAGAUUGAACGCUGGCGGCAUGCCUUACACAUGCAAGUCGAACGGCAGCAUGAUCUAGCUUGCUAGAUUGAUGGCGAGUGGCGAACGGGUGAGUAAUACAUCGGAACGUGCCCUGUAGUGGGGGAUAACUAGUCGAAAGAUUAGCUAAUACCGCAUACGACCUGAGGGUGAAAGUGGGGGACCGCAAGGCCUCAUGCUAUAGGAGCGGCCGAUGUCUGAUUAGCUAGUUGGUGGGGUAAAGGCCCACCAAGGCGACGAUCAGUAGCUGGUCUGAGAGGACGAUCAGCCACACUGGGACUGAGACACGGCCCAGACUCCUACGGGAGGCAGCAGUGGGGAAUUUUGGACAAUGGGGGCAACCCUGAUCCAGCAAUGCCGCGUGUGUG
rnacentral:rRNA from 1 species